UAAGGAAUAUUGCUCAAUGGGAGAAAUCCUGAAGCAGCAACGCCGCGUGGAGGAUGAAGGGUCUAUGACUUGUAAACUCCUGUAAAGAAGGAAAAAAUUCCCAUUUGAUGGGAGAUGAUGGUACUUCUGGAGUAAGCCCCGGCUAACUACGUGCCAGCAGCCGCGGUAAUACGUAGGGGGCAAGCGUUGUCCGGAUUUACUGGGUGUAAAGGGUGCUCAGGCGGAUUUGUAAGUCAGAGGUGAAAUCUUACAGCUUAACUGUGAAACUGCCUUUGAUACUGCAAGCCUAGAGUAUGGAAGAGAGUGAUGGAAUAUCUGGUGUAGCAGUGAAAUGCGUAGAUAUCAGAUAGCACACCAAUGGCGAAGGCAGUCACUUGGUCCAUUACUGACGCUAAAGCACGAAAGCGUGGGUAGCAAACA
rnacentral:rRNA from 1 species